UGCAUCAGUAGCUAGUUAUAAAUAUUAUCUGGGGAAUAAAUUUGAUUAACAAUAUACAGUGUUCUUGUCAUUUGGUUGGUCGCGUAUUUGGUUUGAAGUGCCAAUUAUCCUCAUAUUAAUAUGAAGUUAGUCGCGUUGAUCUGUUCGCUGUUGGUGGUUGCCUGUCAAGCCAACAAUGGAGUGACGCCAACUACAGUAAACAAUUACGUAGAAACCCGCAACAACAAUUACAACAUAAAUAGCAACAUGAACGUCCCGAAUCCGUACAACAUGCCACCACCAUACCAAAACCCUAUGAUCGGUCCUUACCAACCAGUGCACAACCCGAAUCUUGCUGAGGGCAUACUUCAUACUGUUUCUGACACUGUGUGGAACAUUGGAAGCCUCAUAGGACAUCGACGUUACUAAAAGAUAUUAUAGAAAUAAUGACAGUAGCAUAUCAAAGAACUUACCUUUGGACCAAUGACAACACGGAAUGCGACUUGCCAUAGGCUUCAGUUAUAACAUAUCUUGCGUUUAACU